AAACUUAAAUGAAUUGACGGGGGCCCGCACAAGCGGAGGAGCAUGUGGUUUAAUUCGAUGAUACGCGAGGAACCUUACCAGGGCUCGAACGCGGGGGGAAUCACGUGGAAACGCGUGAGCCAGCAAUGGCCGCCUGCGAGGUGCUGCAUGGUUGUCGUCAGCUCGUGCCGUGAGGUGUCAGGUUAAGUCCUAUAACGAGCGCAACCCCUAUCCUUAGUUGCCAGCAAGUAAAGUUGGGGACUCUAAGGAAACUGCCUACGCAAGUAGUGAGGAAGGUGGGGAUGACGUCAAAUCAGCACGGCCCUUAUGUCCUGGGCUACACACGUGCUACAAUGGUCGGUACAGAGGGCAGCUACCGGGCGACCGGAUGCUAAUCUCGAAAGCCGAUCUCAGUUCGGAUCGGAGUCUGCAACCCGACUCCGUGAAGUUGGAUUCGCUAGUAAUCGCACAUCAGCCAUGGCGCGGUGAAUACGUUCCCGGGCCUUGUACACACCGCCCGUCAAGCCAUGGGAGCUGGGGGGACCUAAAGUUCGUGACCGAAUAGGAGCGACCUAGGGUAAAAUCAGUGACUGGGGCUAAGUCGUAACAAGGUAGCCGUACCGGAAGGUGCGGCUGGAAUACCUCCU
rnacentral:rRNA from 1 species